CCUUUGGGGGUUCACAUCACACCUGCACAGAACUGAGUAGGGCGAAUGACUCCUAUCAGACCCUCAUCCCCAACACCUGCCUGAGAAGCGUGACCUAAGGAAAUAGUGGUUUGUGUGACUCAGGGCAAAUUCACAGCACCCCAGACGGGUGGUCAGCAGCCAGGGGUCAAACUCCAGGUCUGCCAUGAAGUAUCACACAGCUUGGUGAAGCCACACUGCCUGUCUCAGCAGAUGGUAUUCCAUGCCCAUGCAGGUCGUAUUUAUUAAACCCUUUCUGCGCGUAGGCUGUGCGUAUGGUGAUGGUCAUGCUUCCUUCCCAGUGGCGCGCAGGCCCUAGCAAAUGCCAAAAAAGAAAAAUACGUGAUGGUUUCCUUUCUUGAAGGAGCUUCCCUUGCAGCUAGGAGUGACCGCACGGGACUCACGGAACCAACAAGACAAGAAACACAGAGACAGAUAGCCAAAACACCAAGGAGGGCCAAGUAGGAAGACCGAAAAAUCUCCUACCCUUGAUAUCACCACUGAACUGCCAGAUACACAACAGUACCUCACUCCUCCGUAACAUGCCCAGCCGCCUGGUCUUUUAGAGCUCAUCUUUAUGCACUAAGCACUUGCCCAUGGAUGCUGGGAAACUGUUCAGAAGCCGUUCCUCCAAGGCCCUGCCAGUUCUAAGAUGCCGAGAGCCCAUCAGUUGGUGACUGGCUCCCUGAGUGAAAGUGAGCCGUGGAGCCCACGCCCCUUCCAAGGUCAGCUGCUUCAUUUAGAAAAUGAUCACCAGUCACAAACAGUGAGUUACCAACACCUGUUGGCAGUACCAGAAGAAAACUAAGGAUCUGUUCUUCAGUCCAUCUUGGAUGCAAUGGGGAUAGGAGUUUCAACUUUGUUUGUGGAAGGACAGCAUUUAAAAUGUUCAAUAUCAAUUCCUAUGCUGACAUCCCCCCUCCUGCAACCCCAGGCUUUGGUAAUUAUUAGUGAAGCCAUCUGCUCAGCCUAAUGAAAUGUGCAAUCUCCUGCACAUAUAAUUAGUGAAGUCACUUUAAUUAAUUAAACAAAUUAAUUAAUUGCAAGGAUACUGCAACCAUUUCCUAGGAACUGCAUCCAACUCAUUUAUUCUCCAUGUGUCUACCGGGCUCCUACUGAGGGCAGAGUCCCACACUCGUGCUCUGAGGAGAUAAAGAUGCACCAAGUAGAAACGGAAGCCAAAUGACACGGUUGCUGAUGACUAUCCCUUCCACUUCAGGCCCAGUUUCUCCAUCUGUUACCCACAUGAUGUGGUUUCGAGUUGGGAGUGCUGUCCCAAUCCUCUAACACCCUGUCGAAGCCCCUCCUGUGGUACAGUACCCAGGUAGGCCCCUCAUGCCCGGUGACCACACCCCUGCUGGAUUCUCCACUCUGUUACAGCAUCUGGCAGCUUCACCACGCACUGACUCCCACCAGCUCCCUGACGCUGUUUCUGAACGUGCUACUGUUGAGCCACAAUUCCAUCCCAUCUGCCACAGGACUUCCCAGGAGCUUACACUCCAUCUGGAGUCCUGGGAUAUGAGAAACCCCACCAGACGGGCUCCUGGAUCAACGACCCUCCAAACACUUCACGGGAACCACAAAUAAAGAUUCAGAAUUGUUAGGGACUGAAAGUCUGUGUCCCACCCCCCACCCCCCACCCCAAAUUCAUAUGUUGAAACCCUAGCCCCCAAUCUGAUAGUAUUAGGAGAUGGGGCCUUUGGGAACCAACUAGAUUAAGAAGACUCACAAGGCUGGAGCCCCAUGAUGGGAUUAGUGUCCUUAUAAGAAGAAGAGACACCAGAGCUUCCUUUUUUUGCAAGGACACAAAGAAGAUGUCAAAUGAGCACACAUCAAGAUGGCGGCCGCCUACAAACUAUCCUAAGAGCUCUCAGAAUGAAACCUGCCUUGCCAACACCUUGAUCUUUAGACUUCCCCUUCAGAACUGUGAGAAAUAAAUUUCUAUUUUAAGCCACCCAGUCUGUGGUAUUUUGUUAUGGCAGCCCAAGUUGACCAAAGCAAGGGGGCUGUGGUAAUGUCUGUCCAAAAGAACACGGAGCCAUAACUAGGCACACUGAAUAGGCUGCUGUGGAGAGAGAUACACCUGAGGAGAAACAAGUAGUAAGGAGUCUGAAUGAAGAUGGAGGGUCUCCUAGAACAGGCAAGGACUGUGCUGUAUGAGCAUCUGUGAGAAUACAACCAGGACUCAAACAGUGACACCGUGCCCAAGAACAAGGACGUGAACAGGGCAGUAACUGCAUAUGUGGUAUGUUGGCCAAUGGUCUGCUUUUUCUUGAGAAAGACACAUCUCAGUUCGUGUCCUUGUUCACAGGGGAUCCAUGAAGUGUUAGAGGUCAACGAAGCGUUGGGAUUAGGUCACCUUUUGUCAGUCAAGGUGAUGAGUGUUAGAAUAGCCCGGCAGGAAGGCACGGACCUCAAAACCCUCUUCGGAGCUAGGAUUCCAUAAUUCCACUCAGGAUUUCGCACAAGCGUGCAAGCGGUUUGUUUCUCCCCCCUCCACA